rnacentral:rRNA from 1 species
UACGUAGGUGGCGAGCGUUGUCCGGAUUUACUGGGCGUAAAGAGCGCGCAGGCGGUCGUCCAAGUCGCGUGUGAAAGCCCCCGGCUCAACUGGGGAGGGUCACUCGAUACUGAUCGACUCGAAGGCAGGAGAGGGAAGCGGAAUUCCCGGUGUAGUGGUGAAAUGCGUAGAUAUCGGGAGGAACACCAGUGGCGAAGGCGGCUUCCUGGCCUGUUAUUGACGCUGAGGCGCGAAAGCUAGGGUAGCAAACGGG